rnacentral:rRNA from 1 species
UACGUAGGGGGCAAGCGUUGUCCGGAAUCAUUGGGCGUAAAGCGCACGUAGGCGGCCCGGUAAGUCCGCUCUGAAAGUCAGAGGCUCAACCUCUGGAGGCGAGUGGAUACUGCCGGGCUAGAGUCCGGAAGAGGCGAGUGGAAUUCCUGGUGUAGCGGUGGAAUGCGCAGAUAUCAGGAGGAACACCUAUUGCGAAGGCAGCUCGCUGGGACGGUACUGACGCUGAGGUGCGAAAGCGUGGGGAGCAAACAGG